CCAUUUGCUUAUAUAUAUGGCGCGAAGAUUACAAAUCCUUGAGCGGAAAGUGCAGAAUUCUGUAACCAUGGAUAAUCUAUGUCUGUAACUUAGCUGUAGCUGGAGUUGGACAUAUUCUUGUGAAAAAAACACUGAAGAAAUGUAACAUUCACAAUUUCUUUUACGCAGCGAUGGUAUGGACGAAUAUAGGAGAUCGUCGAUCUCCUUUUCGCACUAGCGAUCUUCGACCACGCUUCAAAAAAAAAAUCUGUCCGUCGAUUCCGGGAUUUCAAUAGUUCUUUUAUAUCGAAAUCCUUUUAGCACGCAAAAGAACUAUGGACACAAAGUAGAAUUA